UUCCUCUUCCUGAGCAUGCCCAGUCAGCGAUGAAGAUCCUGUAUCGAGUGUGUCACUAGGCUCCCGUUCAGGUGGCCCUCGUCAUUCUGUUCACAUCACAUCAGACCUCUCAUCUGGAGCUGCUCCUUGGAUUUGUGGAAUGUCUGGAAGUGGAGGAACCAGAACAAAUGGUGGAGCAGACAAUCCACUUACCAGAGGAGGAGGGUAUGUUAAAAUUGUGUGGAGAGAGAGAGAGAUAGAGAGAGAGAGAGAGAGAGAGAGAGAGAGCACUCGCGCUCACCGACUUGUGGGGAACUCACACCUGACAAAGGACCUUUCUUAUGGGGAAAGUUCAGAAUUGUGGGGAACUCUCUCGUUCCCCACAAAUAUGGUCAUGGGGUUUUUUGAAUUCUACGUGUUCUACUGAUAAUAUUUAUUCGAUUUGUGGUCAUUUUUAAAAAAAUCCCCAUAAGUCCGUAAAAUUGACUCGCAGUAAUUUUCUCACUGCACCGUAAAACGAAUGUUUGAGGAUGCUGGGAAAUGUUCAUUCGGAACGCAGCGGAAUUUAAACUGGUCCCCAUAUGAUACCAAUUUAUUGCGGGCAAUGGCUGCUCCGAGAAUAUGUGGCCUAAUGGCUAUCCUGUAAGAACAAACUACGGAUUUAUAUGAAUUCAGCACCCCCGGGAUAUGGUUUUCGGGUUUUCACCACAAGAGCAAAUUAUACAACUUUAUUCUUGAAAAUGUUAGAGACUGAGACUUGGAGUCAAAGUCAACAGACACGCUUGCAUGGACAUGAAGGAUGUAAAGAACUAGAGUAUUAUAACUGAAAGCAUUUUGUCUGGAUUUGUGUAUGGAAACAGAAGGAUUUAGUAUUGGUAUCCUGAAUUUUUGUCAACUUCUAGCCAAGAUCCUGUACUUAAGCUGAAUGUGGAGGACAGAUGUACACACAGUACUAGUAUAGAGGGUAAGUAGACCAUAAAAAAAAA